rnacentral:rRNA from 1 species
GGCGAGNGUUGUCGGAUUAUUGGGCGUAAGCGCGCGCAGGCGGUCCCUUAAGUCUGAUUGUGAAAGCCCACGGCUCAACCCGUGGAGGGGUCAUUGGAAACUGGGGGACUUGAGUGCAGAAGGAGGAGAGCGGAAUUCCACGUGUAGCGGUGAAAUGCGUAGAGAUGUGGAGGAACACCAGUGGCGAAGGCGGCUUCUCUGGUCUGUAACUGAACGCUGAGGCGCGAAAGCGUGGGGAGCAAACAGGAUUAGAUACCCUGGUAGUUCCACGCCGUUAAACGAUGAGUGCUAAAGUGUUAGAGGGGUUUUUCCCUUUAGUGCUGUAGCUAACGCGUUAAGCACUCCGCCUGGGGAGUACNGCCGCAAGGNUGAAACUCAAAGGAAUUGACGGGGGCCCGCACAAGCGGUGGAGCAUGUGGUUUAAUUNGAAACAACNCGAAAAACCUUACCAGGUCUUGACAUCCCCUGACAACCCUGGANACAGGGCGUUCCCCCUUCGGGGGGACAGGGUGACAGGUGGUGCAUGGUUGUCGUCAGCUCGUGUCGUGAGAUGUUGGGUUAAGUCCCGCAACGAGCGCAACCCUCGCCCCUAGUUGCCAGCAUUCAGUUGGGCACUCUAGGGGGACUGCCGGUGAAAAACCGGAGGAAGGUGGGGAUGACGUCAAAUCAUCAUGCCCCUUAUGACCUGGGCUACACACGUGCUACAAUGGGCGGUACAAAGGGCUGCGAACCCGCGAGGGGGAGCGAAUCCCAAAAAGCCGCUCUCAGUUCGGAUUCCAGGCUGCAACUCGCCUGCAUGAAGCCGGAAUCGCUAGUAAUCGCGGAUCACCAUGCCGCGGUGAAUACGUUCCCGGCCCUUGUACACACCCCCCGUCACACCACGAGAGCUUNCAACACCCGGAAGUCGGUGAGGUAACCCGUUAAGGAAGCCAGUCCCNUCCAGAGUGGGCUCCAAGUGAUUGGGGUGAAGUCUUAACAAGGUAGCCGUACCGGAAGGUGCGCUGAACACCUCCUCGAAAC